GACGAACGCUGGCGGCGUGCUUAACACAUGCAAGUCGAACGGAAAGGCCCUGCUUUUGUGGGGUGCUCGAGUGGCGAACGGGUGAGUUACCCGUGAGUAACCUGCCCUUGACUUUGGGAUAACUUCAGGCAACUGGGGCUAAUACCGGCUAGGAGCUCCUGCUGCAUGGUGGGGGUUGGACAGUUCCGGCGGUUGGGGAUGGACUCGCGGCUUAUCAGCUUGUUGGGGGGGUAGUGGCUUACCAAGGCAUUGACGGGUAGCCGGCCUGAGAGGGGGGCCGGCCACAUGGGGACUGAGAUACGGCCCAGACUUGUACGGGAGGCAGCAGUGGGGAAUAUUGCACAAUGGGCGGAAGCCUGAUGCAGCAACGCCGCGUGCGGGAUGACGGCCUUCGGGUUGGAAACCGCAUUCGCCUGUGACGAAGCGUGAGUGACGGUAAUGGGUAAAGAAGCACCGGCUAACUACGUG
rnacentral:rRNA from 1 species